UACGUAGGUGGCAAGCGUUGUCCGGAAUUAUUGGGCGUAAAGCGCGCGCAGGCGGUCCUUUAAGUCUGAUGUGAAAGCCCACGGCUCAACCGUGGAGGGUCAUUGGAAACUGGGGGACUUGAGUGCAGAAGAGGAAGGCGGAAUUCCACGUGUAGCGGUGAAAUGCGUAGAGAUGUGGAGGAACACCAGUGGCGAAGGCGGCUUUCUGGUCUGUAACUGACGCUGAGGCGCGAAAGCGUGGGGAGCAAACAGG
rnacentral:rRNA from 1 species